CUCCUUUGUAUAUCCAGUAAGCAACAGAUUCUGAUGAAUCUGAAAUGCAGGGUAGUUCAGUGAGAGUCUGGAGAAUUUGAGAAUGCUCAUUUUUGGAACCAAAUCAUCAUGCUGUGAGGAAGUCAAACAGCUACAGGGAGAUGUUCUUGCUGAAAGCCUUUUGGUGAGGCCCCAGCCAAAAGCCAACCCCAAACCAUCAGACAUGUGGGUGAAAAUGAUGGUAGAUGAGUCUGUGUUUGCCAUCAAAGUUGUAUUUGCCUUCUGCCCGUUUACUUUGUGAACUGUGCGCACCAGAAACCAAAGGUUUCCCUGGAAGAGGGAGAAGAAGGAGUCAAUGGGAAAGUAUUAAAAUGACAAUGUAUUGUGCCAGACACAGUCCCUCACAACAAACCUUCCUACCUAACCACACAUGCCUUCUUGGAGCAUGGGAAUGGGUGCUGAUUGAUCAUACAUGCUUGCCUAGUUGGAAUGGCACCACAUA